rnacentral:rRNA from 1 species
CCUACGGGAGGCAGCAGUGGGGAAUUUUGGACAAUGGGCGCAAGCCUGAUCCAGCAAUGCCGCGUGAGUGAAGAAGGCCUUCGGGUUGUAAAGCUCUUUUGUCAGGGAAGAAACGGCUGAGGCUAAUAUCCUCGGCUAAUGACGGUACCUGAAGAAUAAGCACCGGCUAACUACGUGCCAGCAGCCGCGGUAAUACGUAGGGUGCAAGCGUUAAUCGGAAUUACUGGGCGUAAAGCGUGCGCAGGCGGUUUUGUAAGUCUGUCGUGAAAGCCCCGGGCUUAACCUGGGAAUUGCGAUGGAGACUGCAAGGCUUGAAUCUGGCAGAGGGGGGUAGAAUUCCACGUGUAGCAGUGAAAUGCGUAGAGAUGUGGAGGAACACCGAUGGCGAAGGCAGCCCCCUGGGUCAAGAUUGACGCUCAUGCACGAAAGCGUGGGGAGCAAACAGGAUUAGAUACCCUGGUAGUCCACGCCCUAAACGAUGUCUACUAGUUGUCGGGUCUUAAUUGACUUGGUAACGCAGCUAACGCGUGAAGUAGACCGCCUGGGGAGUACGGUCGCAAGAUUAAAACUCAAAGGAAUUGACGG